ACGAACGCNGGCGGCGUGCCUAAUACAUGCAAGUAGAACGCUGAAGGAGGAGCUUGCUCUUCUGGAUGAGUUGCGAACGGGUGAGUAACGCGUAGGUAACCUGCCUGGUAGCGGGGGAUAACUAUUGGAAACGAUAGCUAAUACCGCAUAACAUUGACUAUUGCAUGAUAGUCAAUUGAAAGGUGCAAAUGCACCACUACCAGAUGGACCUGCGUUGUAUUAGCUAGUUGGUGGGGUAACGGCUCACCAAGGCGACGAUACAUAGCCGACCUGAGAGGGUGAUCGGCCACACUGGGACUGAGACACGGCCCAGACUCCUACGGGAGGCAGCAGUAGGGAAUCUUCGGCAAUGGACGAAAGUCUGACCGAGCAACGCCGCGUGAGUGAAGAAGGUUUUCGGAUCGUAAAGCUCUGUUGUAAGAGAAGAACGAGUGUGAGAGNGGAAAGUUCACAC
rnacentral:rRNA from 1 species